rnacentral:rRNA from 1 species
CAGCCGCCGCGGGAAUACAGAGGGUGCGAGCGUUAAUCGGAUUUACUGGGCGUAAAGCGUGCGUAGGCGGCUUCUUAAGUCGGAUGUGAAAUCCCUGAGCUUAACUUAGGAAUUGCAUUCGAUACUGGGAAGCUAGAGUAUGGGAGAGGAUGGUAGAAUUCCAGGUGUAGCGGUGAAAUGCGUAGAGAUCUGGAGGAAUACCGAUGGCGAAGGCAGCCAUCUGGCCUAAUACUGACGCUGAGGUACGAAAGCAUGGGGAGCAAACAGGAUUAGAGAACCCAGUAGUCCCUGUCUCUUAUAC